rnacentral:ncRNA from 1 species
AACACUGUGGGGCCUGGUUCACGGUGAGGCUCCCCAAGGGUGCUGAGGCCGGCUGGCAUCCAGGACAUUGUGGGAUUGCUCCUGUGUUGGUGAGGAAGAGAGUCACCCUACCUUUACCGCUUGCCUCCAAGCGCCCUCUUGAUGCUACUAGCACAGUGUCCCCUGGGGAUGAAGCCUGUACUAUGAAACAAUUCGAGUGUUCAAGGCUGGGCACAGCUGCCUGCAAUAAUAGAAUAGGACCACAGUCAUAUCGUGUUGGUUUAGGGAACUGAGGCCAUCAUCAAGAGGGAUGUCUGGGGGCAUUCCUAUUAGGCCACUAGAGGGGGAAAUUCUUGGAUCAGCCAAAGACCAACCAAAGUGAAAGCAUUUGCCAAGAAUAUCUUCUCAUCAAGAAUGAAAGUUGGAGGUUCAAAGACAGUCAGAUACCCUUAAAGUUCCAGCCAUAAAGGAGGCUGACUGGCAAUGAGCCUCAUUCCAUGACUGCCAGGUCAGCCUCUAGGAAACCAGUCUCUGGGUUGGGGGUGGGUGUGGGGGAGUAUGGUUGCAAAGCUGGAAGUUAAAGGGAUUGGCGGGAGAGCACCACCAGGAGUGGAGUCUCAGCUUCAUUGGACUCCACACUGGAAACCUCGCCUGGCUCCCACACAGACACAGGAUUGACAAAUUGACAGAUCUUUCUUGAUUGCAGGAGGGGUGGGGGUGGGGGGUGCAUGGCCAUUCUUGGUGGAGCAAUUCAUCUGGUUAAUUCCCAAUGAGACUCUGAUAUGCUUAGUUAUAUGUAACCCCUGAUGUCAGCGUCCCCCAACUUCUUAGAAGGACAAGUGGCAUUCAGGCUCCCUGAGAUUGAGCAAUAGGAGGUGUGUGAUACCCUUAGAUGUCAGUGCGGCAUGGCUACACUGGCCCAGCGUGUGCUCCACCCUACUCUGCAGGCUGGGUAAUAUGUGGAGGCUCCUUCAUUUCGAGGAUUAGAGAUUGCAGUUACUGCCCACGAAGGGCCCAGGAAGUGUGGGUUACAGACUCAGGUUAAGUUCCUGUCCUUGGCACUCACCUCUGGUUGCUAUUUCGGAUUGGACAGUUUAGUAAGGCCCUGGAUGGUUUGGUAAGCCCCUCCCAACAACCCCAGGUUGGCUCAGGCUCUGGCUGAUCACUGGGGAGGGGGGGGGGGACUUGGCUAGGGGAAAUAAAAGUCCUAACUAGGUUUCUGUUAGGUGAACCUGCAGAAGAAUCCUCA